rnacentral:rRNA from 1 species
UACGUAGGGUGCGGGCGUUAAUCGGAAUUACUGGGCGUAAAGAGUGCGUAGGCGGUUUUCUAAGUUUGGUGUGAAAUCUCCCGGCUCAACUGGGAGGGUGCGCCGAAGACUGGAAGGCUUGAGUAUGGGAGAGGUAAGCGGAAUUCCUGGUGUAGCGGUGAAAUGCGUAGAUAUCAGGAGGAACACCUGCGGUGUAGACGGCUUACUGGACCAUAACUGACGCUGAGGCACGAAAGCGUGGGUAGCAAACAGG